rnacentral:rRNA from 1 species
AUGAACGCUGGCGGCGUGCCUAAUACAUGCAAGUCGAGCGAACGGACGAGAAACUUGCUUUUCUGAUGUUAGCGGCGGACGGGUGAGUAACACGUGGAUAACCUACCUAUAAGACUGGGAUAACUUCGGGAAACCGGAGCUAAUACCGGAUAAUAUUUUGAACCGCAUGGUUCAAAAGUGAAAGACGGUCUUGCUGUCACUUAUAGAUGGAUCCGCGCUGCAUUAGCUAGUUGGUAAGGUAACGGCUUACCAAGGCAACGAUGCAUAGCCGACCUGAGAGGGUGAUCGGCCACACUGGAACUGAGACACGGUCCAGACUCCUACGGGAGGCAGCAGUAGGGAAUCUUCCGCAAUGGGCGAAAGCCUGACGGAGCAACGCCGCGUGAGUGAUGAAGGUCUUCGGAUCGUAAAACUCUGUUAUUAGGGAAGAACAUAUGUGUAAGUAACUGUGCACAUCUUGACGGUACCUAAUCAGAAAGCCACGGCUAACUACGUG